UGGCGGUAAUAGCGCGGUGGUCCCACCUGACUCCAUACCGAACUCAGAAGUGAAAUGCCGUAACGCCGAGGGGUCUACCCCAUGUGAGAGUAGGGCGCUGCCA
rnacentral:rRNA from 1 species